rnacentral:rRNA from 1 species
UACGUAAGGUGCGAGCGUUGUCCGGAAUUACUGGGCGUAAAGAGCUCGUAGGUGGUUUGUCGCGUUGUCCGUGAAAACUCACAGCUUAACUGUGGGCGUGCGGGCGAUACGGGCAGACUGGAGUACUGCAGGGGAGACUGGAAUUCCUGGUGUAGCGGUGGAAUGCGCAGAUAUCAGGAGGAACACCGGUGGCGAAGGCGGGUCUCUGGGCAGUAACUGACGCUGAGGAGCGAAAGCGUGGGGAGCGAACAGG